UGCCCUUAUCAUUUUCUGCUCAGAUGCUGUGGAUGCAGAUGUCUAUGGAUGGAUGUUUUGGUGUCUAAUUCCCCCUUCAUUAAGCCUCACAGCAGUGUGUUUUUAAUCCAAAAAUGCUCAGAUAUUCAGUAAAGCUGCCUUAAAGCAAACACACAUAAUUACAGCUGAGAGCCCUGUAUUGGAGUGUGUGAUUGUAUAUUGCUUGUGUAGAGUGUCAAGCGUGCGUGCUGCACAUUGUGCCUGGAGAGAUUGAUGUUUUGUCAUCCACCUGCUUCUAAGCUGUAAAGGCAAGCGCAGCAAAGGCAAACCUACCCAGCUUCAAAAUCCAAACAAAGAAAUCUUAGUGGGCUGUUUACAUAUCUGUGGAAGGAUAUCUGGGCUUGUGUUGACGGGGUGCUAGAGUGGUUGAGAGAUCAGUCCCCGCACAAUGGUACAGAAGCUCUAGUGGUGUUGGUUGUGUUCUGGAAGACCUGAGGGACACAACGGCUACCAUGCACAUCUGCAUCCUGUAUGUGGCUGAGGGGGAGCCUCACGGAUUUAUGAAGAAUCCAGAAAUGUGUGUCAUCAUUAUGGAAAAAGGGCGACACAGAUCCACUGAUUGGUGGAGUUUGGAUCAGAGCACAGGAAGAAGUCAAGCUAAGCAGUCACGAGCAAGAGAACAUUCGGCUCCUCUCUCAUCCGCCACAUACUUGACCCACAGUAACUCCGCUUUGACAGAGCAUCACAGCUUUUCUGUGUAAGACAGAGCCUAGU
ensembl:lncRNA